ACGUACCUACUUGUAGGCACCUCACAAGACCAAGUGCCUCAGCUCCUCUGCACGGCGCUGAACCUGAAGCUCUUCGGCUGUUCUGCUCCGACAGUGUUGGCAGUACUUGGGGCUCCUUAUUUAAUGCCUUUUCUCCCCUGAGCAAGGGAGAGAAGGAGGAUGCACCACUGUGUCCGAGCUAGAGGUAGGAGUGCUCUGUAGCUCCAGGUCCCUCAAACAAUUGCGAGGGAUUUUUUUUUGUACACGUGUUAAUUACUUUGGCAUAACAGUACCUCGUGAGCAGACUUCCUAGGGCUGAAAGGGGACUAGACUAGAAUAAGAUGUAAAAUUGCAGCAGCUGCUUUGAGGAGUUAUUUAGGGAUGUGAUGACAAGCAUUGAAUGAAGUUGUUCAGGUUGGCUAGCUUAUUUUUCCUGCAUAACCAGUGACUUCUUCCUCUCCUGGGAAAUUUCCAUCGGUGAUUAGAGGGGUACUUGUUUUAGUGGUCUCCAUCCCCAGCCUUCCCCGUGGUCCUGGAGGUGACUGAGUGAAUGCAGGGCACCGUGGGACCGAGUGUUAUCUGUGGGUGGAUCAGGUGAUCCCUGUUUGUUUUCCCCAAGUAGCUGCUUUUAAUUAGCAUCACUUAAAAUACAUUUCCCGCGUGUGCAGUAAUGAGAGCGCUGUUCUAGCACUCAGUCCUGCCUGAGCCAGGACCACUGUACCACGCGAUGGCACUGGUAGACACUGUCUUGUCCUGUCUGGCUUGCCUUUCUGGUAUGUUAGCUCUAGACUACAUUCCCAUUUACCUGCUCAUCUUCCCUCUGCUCACCUGCUUCUGUUGCUAGCAGCAGUUGCCACUCCUUCCCUGCUCUGUCUGCUGGAGAUUUGCCACACCUGAUCUGUUUGCUUUGCUCAGGGCCAAGUUACAGCAAGGUGGGGCUUCCAGGAGCUGUUAAUGAGGCAGGCUAUAUAAGCACUGGCCUUCUUUGCAUGGAUUGUCCUGUCUUUAAUGGGCAUCAGCAACACUUGCUCCUGUUGUACCUUUGCUGGGGUUUGGUGGAGAUGGGGUGUUUCUCUUUUGGAACAGCUGGCUGUGGGGGGUGGCAUUUUGCUCCCACUGAAGUCAAUGGCAGUAUUCCCAUAGACAUUGUAGGGGCCAGGAUUUCACCCAGUCUGCUUUAACUGUCACUAGACCACAGAUGUGGCUUGGAAUAGAUGGCUUGGGAGCCUGAUCCUUCUGAGCCUGUCUCGGGGUGCCAGGGUAGGAUGAAAGAAUUGCUGCGGCACAUCUGGUCAUGCUAGCCAGCAAAGGCAGAGCUGAAGGGAAGGGAUUUGAUGGGCUGCCCUCUGUCUCUAUUUUGACUCAAGCUGGCUCUUGGCAGUACUGAUUAAGCUCUGGCAGCGUGAGGCUGAGCUGCUGUAGUAGCAACUCUGUCUAGGGGUUUCAUGGCUGGUGAGACAGGAGCAAAGGGGCAUGGGACAGGGAGCGUAGCUCAAAUACCUGGGUUCUGCCUGGUGAAUGUGGUAUCUACUGCAUUGAAAUAUUGCUGUGGAUUUCAGCAUGACCCAAACAAGUCAGGCUUUUCUUAAGCAAGGCCCUGCUGGUUGUGCUGCACAGAGGCUACAACCAGGUGCCAGCGUGAAGUGACUAAACAGUUUAGUUUUGCUGCCCAUGCUGAAUGAAGUAACCAAGCAUGCAAGCAGGGAAAUGGUAAGCUUGGCUUAAAAAAAAAAAAAGCCCACUUUCUAAUCUUGUGUUUUUGCAGAGGGUAGUAACAGGCCAGAUUCCAAUCUUGGGGUAUACAUCUGGGGUACUGAUUUUUUGCUGGGUGUUCCCUGGAUUUACAGGGGUUGAGACAUUUGGACUCUGCACCUCUGAUUUCAGAACGUAGAGAAGUGGCAGGAUGAGCAGAAAAAUCCAGGGCCCGGCUUCUGAUCCGUGUUUCCCCUUUUUCCUGUGCACAGAGCAGCUCUGGCGAGGUUGGCAAAGCAGUUUGGAUGCGCUCUUCCUGGCCUGAGACUAGAAUUGUGUCCUGCGGUUCAGAGCCUCACCACAUGUGCUCUCUACAAGAAUGAAAGCGGUGUGAUUUGUGCUCUGAUCAAAGUGAAUGAUUAAGAAAAGCAAAGUGGACCCCUGUAACCUUCCUAUUUAAAGGUUCCCUGCCUCAGGCAGUGUUUGAAGGAUCUCCUGUAACAACACCUUUGAAAAAUGUCCUGCUAUAUUUCUUUUUUAUAUAUAUAUAUAUAAAGAUUUGCUGGGGCCUGACACUUACCUGCAAAUAACCUGUGAACAAAAUGUUCUUGUUGUCUCUGGUCCUGUUCAUCAGUUGCUGUUUUCCAUACCUAAAGUGGCUUGCACAUCAGUGCCUGUCAGAGCGAGUUCUGUUCCAUUCGUCAGCUGCUUUCGGAGUCUCCUGGAUAACAAGAUCAUGCAGAAAGGGUUAUUUGGCUCUACAUUAUGGCCCAAUCUCGCCAAUGCUGUCAUGCUGCAGCAUCCUCAAAGAUCUGCGUUAGUGAUGCCAAGACAUAUCAGCUUUGGACUUUUGCUAAACUGCCCCUGGUUCCUGCCUGUUAGGUUUUCUGAACAGUGACGCAGCCCACCGUUUGCUAUAACACUUGGUUCCAGUGCUGGGUAAGGAAGGAGCGAGUCUGUUUGUUUCUCUGGGCAUUGGGUGGAUUGGCUCUGAUCUUUACAUGCCCCAGUAACUGUUUUCUCCUUGUGGCCUAAUGCAAGAUAACUAGUGUUAAGUUCUGAAAUCGUUCAAGGGUCACCGGAGCUAGCUGCUGUCUCUCUGGCUGUUGCAAAGGGCAACACUUCCUCGGGAACACGGCCGUUUCAGUUCUCGGUGUCCGGGCGUCGUUUAGACUAGGAAGAGUUAACUGCCUGAGUCAGGGUCAUUAUGUAAGCUGCAAUCUCUCUCCCUUUCUCUUUCAAAAUGCCAGGUGUCGCUUUCAAGACUCAGUGAUGAUCUCUGUGUUUUCCUUAUGGGUUUUAAUGAGAAUAGAGUACCGUCUUUAUGAACUGGUGCAUGCCUGUGAGAAAUGUAAAUGGGGAGCAGGCGUGUGCGCCAGAGCAGCUGAGCUCCUAAUCUA